rnacentral:tRNA from 1 species
GCGGGGUGGAGCAGCUUGGUAGCUCGUCGGGCUCAUAACCCGAAGGUCGUCGGUUCAAAUCCGG